AGCGUGCGCAGGCGGUUUUGUAAGACUGUCGUGAAAUCCCCGGGCUCAACCUGGGAAAUGGCGAUGGUGACUGCAAGGCUAGAGUUUGGCAGAGGGGGGUAGGAAUUCCACGUGUAGCAGUGAAAAUGCGUAGAUAUGUGGAGGAACACCGAUGGCGAAGGCAGCCCCCUGGGUCAAAACUGACGCUCAUGCACGAAAGCGUGGGGAGCAAACAGGAUUGAUACCCCUGU
rnacentral:rRNA from 1 species